UUAAGGAAUUAAAGACUCUGGGGCUAGGAAUGUAGCCCAGUUGGGAGUAUGCUUGCUACUAUGCUGAAGCCAUGGGCUCUUAACACAGCACAGCAUUAGCAUAGAGGGGUGUUGCACACUGGCAACGCCAGCAGGAGGAGGAUCAAGAGUGCAAAGCUAGCCUUGGCUACAUGAGAUAGAUACUGUUUCAAAAACAGCAUCAAGAACAACUCAGAUACCCCGAAGGGCAGGGAAUAUGUGCUCAGUACAUGGUUUCUUUACCUUUCCUCCUCCUUUGGAAUUUGUAGUUGGAAACCUUUAAGUAGAUUUUAUAUAUGUGUGUGUGUGUGUGUGUGUGUGUGUGUGUCUGUGUGUGUCUGUGUGUAUAAUUUAAAACCACACUCUGCUCUGUCUAAAUCUCAUAAGCAAGCACUAACUACUCCAGCUCAUUCCAGUUUGUGUUUUCACACAUGGAAUUGUGGAGUGCAUAUAGUAUUACAGUUAUACUUUGUGCUGUGGAGUGCUUUGUGGCUUCUUCUCAUGGAUGGGUCUAUGCAGGGCAAGCCGUUUGAUAAGAAGGUCUGUGCUGCUUCCUCUCGGUUCCUGGAUUGGUGGCAGAGAUUUAGUGGCUCUGUCCUCGUGAUAAGGCAGGGUAGAACAGCAUUCUGUGUGUGAGUCUGCUCAGCAUCACCAAACAUUCAUCCUUCUAAGCCUUUAGAAAGCUCAAGAACUCAUAGAAAUAACCCUGUUGUGUUGUUUGGUACCAAGAUGAAACAUAGCCAAAGCUUGGGGGAUUAGGACUGGGAAGGUUCCCAGAAGUAAAUCUCAGACUUUCUGGAUGAUAUUCCACCAUGGCUUUUUGACAAAAGAGCAAGGCCUCAAUGUAAGGCUCAAUGAUGACGUGUGUGUGUGUGUGUGUGUGUGUGUGUGUGUGUGUGUACAUAUCUAUCUACCCACUCACCCACCCAUCCAUCCAUCCAUCCAUCCAUCCAUCCAUCCAUCUAUCUAUCCAUUCAUCUACCUAGUGUUCUGUCUGUCUAUCUGUCUGUCUGUCACCUCCCCCUUUUUAAUCCAGACUCAAUGUGUUUUCACACCUCUCCAGGUGAGCAUCAGGCAGGGACAAGAAGUAGCAGACAGAGUGGCAGCUCAAAAUGACCUAAGUAAUUGUGGGUGGUCAGGAAAGUAACUGGCUUUUAAGUUCCUUCUGGGAUUGGGCCUCCUCAGAGAGUGCAUGGCUGGGUGGGGGUUGUGUGGCUGGCUUUGCCAUGCUCUGGGGGCUGGAUCCCACGGCCUGUUGCAGAGCCAUUAGUGGGUUCAAGGGGAGGUGCAUGGGUGGGGAUGAAGUCAGAAUUGUGGGGCAGGUGAUGCAAGCACUUCCCUGAAGAGCCAUCCCACUGCCUGGCCGCCUACCUGCUGACACCACCCAGCAUGGCUUGUGAACGUCACGUCAGUUCAUUGCCGCACAGACACUUUUAAUUUGCACAAGCCAGAAGAUUUACACUGGGGUUGAGAUAGCAGAAGACGAAAAACCCAGUGGGUUAGUUCAGAGCUCUGACUUUGUUUCUGUUCCUCACCCUGGUGUGAGAUGGCUAAGCAACAACAGGGCUAGAGUUCAGAUCUAUUGACGGCAUACUUGCCUUGGUACCAGAAUUUCUUCCUUUUGAAGUAGUUUAAAGUUUAAAUUUUCUUCUUUCUAUGUAUGGGUGUUUUGCCUGCGUCUGUGUCUGUGCUGAUAGAGAUAUCAGAUCCCCUGAAACCAGAGUUACAGACUCUGGGGCCGGGAAUGGAGUAGUACAUUAAGAAUGCCAGUGCUGGGAACUGAGCCUGGGUCCUCUGGAAGAACAGCUAAUGCUUUAAAGCACAGAGUUGUCUCUCUGGCCGCUCCGUGGCUUGAGCUUCUGAAACGGGGUUUUUCCUAGAGGUCCACGGUGAAUCUCCUUCAGCCACACCGUGGACCUCUGUGGUAUUGAAGAUGCGGCACUGAGGAGCGUCUGCAGCAAGCUGUGUAUAUUUAGUCCUAGGAGUGAGGAUGCUAGACAAAGAGCUAGGUAGAGUGCAGUGUGGAGGAACUGGAAGGUAGCACGGAACAGUCUUGGUGUAGAUGACAACCUGUAGUUUAUGCAUGGCAUCCUGCUGUUACUACCGUGGUGCAAACGACCACGAGAUGGUAUAAAAACCUGUGAGUUCUGAGGUGCAGAAGGAGGAAAGAAACUAAAGAAGCAUUAAUGGAGGGAGGAGGCAGAGGCUAUGAUGAGGCAGGUCUAGCCUGUAAAUCCAGUGAACUUCCCACCCUGAACUGACCUGAGUUACCCUGCAACAAGCAUCCCCACCUCCUGCGAUUUCAAGGCACCCAUAUGUCGCUGUGUGUCGCCUGUCACUUCAUCUGGAAGAAGAGCAUCCAUGUGGAACAUCAGUGGCACCUGUCUUGAAAACUCAGGGCCACUGUUGGUGAGGGGACACCAGUUCUUUGCAUAGGGUACCCUCUGGUCAGAUGGCCUUCCCAAUCCGUGCAAGCAGUUUAGCAGGGGAAGGUGUUUUGAUUUGGGGCAGGGUAGACAACAUGAAGAAUGUGGUUUUGGGAUUGGGACACCAAAUGGCCACAUUCUGGGACUUUUUAUCUGGGUAAGGUUGGGCUGGUGCGAGCAUUGUGUAUCAGGCAUUUACAGAGACCAGGGAAAGGAGAGAGGUAUGAGUAGAGCUUUGUCAACAAGAAACCUUGACACAGCCAAAAUGGAUAAGGAGCUUUUCUCAGUGUCUCCUGUACCAUAAACUCAUUCCCUUAUCCCACUAGUGUUGAGAAUAUCAGGUACUCUGUAGGCUAAAGGACACUUGUAGGUCAGCCUUUAAUUAUUACAUUAAUCACAGUAUGGAGUAGUACAUUAGCUUCUGAAAAGCAUGGAGGAAUUACUCCAAAUCAUUUAAAAUGCGUAUCGGAAGAAACACAUUUGUGAAUAUAAAUAAAAGCAUUAUUUAUAAUAUCACAAAAACCUGUAAUUGAUCCAAGCAUCCCUCGCGUGGUGAAUGGUGGAAUACUACUCAGCCACAGAAAAGGAGUGGAAUUCUGAAUGUAUAUAGCAGCAUGCAUGGACACGCAGAAGCAUUGUGUACAUCCAAUUAGAUGAUACUCCAGUGCAGACAAAAGUAGUCUGUGCUUAUACAAAGCAGAUGGAUGAAUGUCUGGGGCUCAGCAUGUAGGGGUCAACAAGGGAACUUUGUGGCAAUCGUGUACUGACCUUGACUGUAGAGAUGGUUGAAUGGUUGUAUACACUUGUCAACACACUUAACUCUACAUGCAACAGGAGUGGAUUUUAAGUGAGUUGUAUAUCAAAGUAUUUUUUUAAAGGCUCAUGUUUAAAUGUAAGGCAACUCCUUAUAAAUUUUGUUAUCAAUUAUAGCUUUUUUUAUCGGUAGGAAGGAGUUCAAGUUUCAAAGCAUGUAAAAGUGACGUUUUAGAUUAUAAUCUGUGCAAAACGGGGAACUGUUCAUAUGCUCAGGCUAUCACUCCAUUUUAAUUCUCUCUAAACAAACUUCUGGAUUCUAUUAUUUUCAGAGGGCUUUGGAGACCAUUUUAAAGUGCAUGUUUUCCCAGGAUUUUCCUGUACCUCUUUGGCAAGCUUCAUACUUACAUUGUUUCAAAAGUAUAAAUAACAGCAGAAGAGAGCUCUGUUUUUGGCAUACUCCUUUGUCCUUUCCUGUUGUCCUGAUUCUUUUAUGUUAAAUCAGCCUGCAGUUCCCGUCCCUUCUGCCUUUGAACUUAGAACAUGGGCUCCCGGUCCUUUGCAGGCAGACCCAAUGAAGAGAAAGCAUACUGUGCAUGGCAGAAACUGGGUAGGACAGAAUGCGGGUGCCUGCCUGCCCAGAGCGAGGGUAGUGAAGUGUGGGAGCAAAUUGCUACUUGAUAAGCACUUUGGGUUUGGAAAUCUGGUGUCACCCACCUGUGUCCCGUGUGGUAGCGCCUAUUCUUUAUCCUCCCCCCCCCCGCCCCCUCGCUCCUCCUCCUCCAGGUCCUGUGGAGUCAGCUACUUAAACUCAUGGUCUAAGACCUCAAAAUUUCACAGUGAUCUGUCGUCACAACAAAUCUAAAAUAAUAAAAGGUAAUUAUGUUUCUGAAGGUACCAGUCUUUUGCAUGCUUAGGACUGAGUGUGCAUUAAAGUGGGCUAUUGAGUUUUUGAGGGGAGGGGACUGGGGUGUGAUAGUGUGUUCGGGUCUAGGGCCAGGCUGUAUGUGGUCUACCCUACGGUUGGUGGCCUGGACUUGCCCUUUUCCUAGAAAAAGCAGAUCAGAAAGAACAGGCAGUUCUGGCCCAGCUUCUUGACGAUCACCUUUAACCCCCUCAGUGCUGACAUCUGGGCUGAUGGAGCCCGGGCCCUCUUGGGGAUGUGGUGUAGGUCAGGAGGCUUGGGUGUUCUGCCCAUCAGGGCCCUGAGGAACCCUCUGUUUUUGGGGAGAUAGCUUAUUUUGUGAGCUUGAGGAACUCAGCUCUGAGUUGAGAAUGCCAUUUCACAGGGUGUGAUACUUAGCCAUGUCAACUUCCAUGAGGUUUACGGUCGCCUAGGCGACAAAUCUCUGGGUGUGUCUGUGAGGGGUUUUCUGGGUGAGGUUUACUAAGAUGGGAAGACCCACCUAACAGUCAAUAAAAAGGAGACCGUGAACUGAGAGGGAGCAAGUCUCUUUAUGCUUCCUGACAGCAGAUGCAACCAGGCCAGCUGCCUCGGGCUUCUGCCGCUGUGACUCUCUGAUAGAAUGGACAUCACCCAGUAUCUGUGAGCCAAAAUAAGGGCCCCCUUCCUUAAGUUGCUUUAUCAGGUACUUUGUCACAGCCAGAGGGCAAGUAAUCACUGCAGAGGGAUGUCUAGAACAUUAGAUGUGAUGAGGGAGUGUGGUAGGCCUUUGUAAACCCUUCUCUGUUGGGAAGCUGGCUUUGGACCAGCUGCCGUGGAGCCGAGCCGACUGCCUGGUAACGCCUUGUGAUGUCUGGUAACGCCCUGUUCAUUUUAUAAAUCCAGGGGACGCGGAGGGAACAAGGCCAGAAUAAUUUGCAGUCACAGGUGCUGCUUUGUUAGCAGCACAGCCUUUUUGAGAUGGGGACAGUGUCCCUUCAUUUCCUGGUUUGCUCUGCACGUCAGUUUAAUACACAGGCAUGUGACUAGAAUCACAGACCAUGGCUGCCAGGCUCCGAGUAAAUGCGCUCACUGGAGGCUCAUUACCUGUGAUUGCAGACACAGGGAGGAGAUUUGACUGUGGAAAUGGAGCUUGAUGUGCUAUUGAAAUAACUUGGCAGGUCGGUAGGAAAGGCGUGGGGGGUGAGUAGAAGGUGGGGGGGGGGCUCCCACAGUGAUAUCCCCUCCACACAUCGGUAGCAAGCAAUAUUGUCCCAUCUGAUGAGACAUGCACUGUAUUUUGUUCUGCUCUACAAAUAAGAAAACUCCUAUCUAUACUUAUCACAAAGUGAUGAAAUUUUGGGGGAUCAUGAUAAGUAUUUUUUAAAAGCUUAAUUGUAUUAUUGGUGUUCCAGCUUCGGACUUAUUUCUGGUGCCCUAUAAGUGGCCAGCAGCCUGGUCCCUGGGUGCAGAUCUAGGCAGUGGGAGAAAGGAAACAAUUAUCCAGCAAAUGCGAAGAAAUCCUGCCAAGGAGCAAGAAAGACACCCCUCACCCCCUGGCCAAUUACAGAAAAUUGGUGUUUAUAGGGAAUUAAGUUGUCUGGUAAUGAUGCUUUCUCUUCCUUUGUCUGGUAGAGCCAUCGUCAGAGCCAUAAGUGAAAGAAAGCCAGAGUGUUUCCGGCCUCUGUGCUGAGGCGGUGACCCUGCCUGUAAGCACCCACCUUUGGGGGCUCAGCCGCAUUGGGAGCAGGAUUGAGCUUACUUCCAGGAGCCUAGUUGACCCUAAAAUACAGUGAAGCGAGUGAGGUGUGUUUAUUCCAGCUUGCUGGCUCUGCUUGCUAUGCGGGAACUUGGUGUUCUGGUGUACAGCUGUCUGGUGCUAAAGAUGACUUGGGUCUGGGUUGCAGCCCGUGUCGAUCCUGGGAAACUCUCUUCCUAUGUUGGGAACAUUGAGAGGGUCCUGGGGUGUGACUCUAGUCUCAACAGCGCUGCCUUCUUACAUCACUCUACCUGUCCUGGAUCUGCUUUCCCACGGGAACAAUGUCACGGUACUUUCUAGGCACCGUCUACAGUUUGUAAUCUAUCUUCUCACCCGAAGAAUGGUAUGGCACGUGACAGACAUGAAGACAUCUUUAGAAAACAAAGCUCUCCACGAGUGUAAACUGUGACUGAUGACACACUCAGUGACCUUAUCUGAGAGCUCAUAUUAGAGAGACAGUAUUUGCAUCUUUUAGGGGCCCAUGUACCAAGGUAAAGCCGUGGCUUCCCUCCUUGAAGCCCUUUAGGGCACAUCAAGAUGCCUCAGGGGACUGAAUCUAAGCAUAACUGGAUUUUAUUUGCUUUCCACUUCUCCUUUGUUUAAUCUGCUCUGUUCUUUAUUUCCGAGUACUGGGAAGGAUAGGAAAUAUGUAAGAUUUUUCAUAUCAGUAAACAGAAAUAAAUGGGAGGCCCGUGGAAAGAGAGAAGAGACUAUAUUAAACAUAUUCAAAGCAAGAGGCAGGAGAAGGGAGUCUGUGAAAGUUGGCAGCCGGCAACCCCAAGGUUCGUCUUAAGAAAUGACAGGCUUGGAGAGUGAAGCGCGGGGCUGUAGCAUUUUUGGAAAAUUGAAGUUAACACCAACGCUGCCCUUUCUUUGCUCGGCGAGACAUAUGGCAGGGACAGAUUCCUGUGAUCCUCUGCAGUCGUGUGACAUUGGCGCAUUUGGCUCGUUUUUUUUUAAAAAGGCUCAGCAAAGUCUUAGGAGACAGAACGCCUCUUUACCUCUUUCAUCCUGUGGGCCCACGAGGAAGUUAAUUCCUUUUUAACUUUUUGAGACAUACUGGUUUCACAAAACAGGAAAAUAAAGGGUCUCUCAAAGGACUGAGAUAGACUAACCAGUCUGCAGAGUAGGCAGGAGCAGGCUGAGCGACAGGACAAGACAGGAUGGCUGGCAAAGGGCGUGGUGAGGGCAUGGCGGUGGUGCUGCAUGCCUUGAGGCCUUGCAUCGGAUCCCCACCGUAUGAGCAUAGGAUCACCUGCGGGAGGACACUGCAGAGGACUAGAAAGCUUAUGGCCCAUGUCAGAGCACCGGGGUGCUUCUGUACUGUACCUGUCCUGCGUACUGCAGAGUUCCUGGUCAGGAUUCACUCACAUUUUUUGGGAAUAACGUUUCUUGGAAUCGGACUGUGGGCGUGGAAUGAAAAAGGUGUCCUCUCCAACAUCUCGUCCAUCACCGACCUCGGUGGCUUUGACCCAGUGUGGCUUUUCCUUGUGGUGGGAGGAGUGAUGUUCAUUCUGGGGUUUGCAGGGUGCAUCGGAGCACUUCGGGAAAACACCUUUCUUCUCAAGUUUUUUUCUGUGUUCCUGGGGAUUAUUUUCUUCCUGGAACUCACUGCUGGGGUGUUGGCAUUUGUUUUCAAAGACUGGAUCAAAGACCAGCUGUAUUUCUUUAUUAACAACAACAUCAGAGCCUACAGAGAUGACAUUGAUCUACAGAACCUCAUAGACUUCACCCAGGAAUAUAUUCCAAUGCAAGCCGAGAGCGAUGCGGUGUGCCAUUUUCCUGCUGCACUAAAGACCCCGCGGAAGAUGUCAUCAACACUCAGUGUGGCUAUGAUGCCAGGCAGAAACCAGAAGUUGACCAACAGAUUGUAAUCUACACAAAAGGCUGUGUGCCCCAGUUUGAGAAGUGGCUACAGGACAAUUUAACCAUCGUGGCUGGUAUUUUCAUAGGCAUUGCAUUGCUACAGAUUUUUGGGAUAUGCCUGGCACAGAAUUUGGUGAGUGACAUUGAAGCUGUCAGGGCUAGCUGGUAGACCCCUGCGACCACUGCUGUCAGACACUGGACUGAUCCCCCCUCACUGACUGACCCUCUGUGCGCCGGCCGGCUGAUGGCGGGCUGUAGAGGCCUGGUCACAGGCCUACAGUCUCACCUGAUGGAGCUGCCAAGAACUUAACUUUCUGUGGGGGUAGAACUGGGAAAUGCUGCUCACAGACGGAACUUGGAAAAAGAAAAACAAAACAAGUGCGCAACUUGCUGAGUCAACGUGCAGUGAAUCUCUACUGUAGCCGUGGAUUGGUGGUCGGAUGGAUGCUACCAGAAGGGGGAAGGGGGGAGGUUGGGCACGGCAUGUACUUGAAUUUUUGGAGAAUACAGUGCUGUACACAUCUUGGCUAAAACUUGGGCCCUUAGCCGUCAGGGCCAGGUGUCUUGAAAUCUCUCAAACCCUUUGCAUCUGUCCUCCAGAGAAGAAACCAGCUGCCCCCUGUGUUCAGAUUCUGAGAGAGGUGGAGCGGGUCACGAUACAGCAUGCGCCCUUCAUCCUGAGUUUGCCCUUAAGAGAACUGGGCGUUUGCAGUAAACUAGGGUGCCAGAGGCUGAGCUCCACAUUUCCACAGGACUGCUCUUUCCUCUGAGUGGCCAGCCCGAGCCUGAGCUCUGUCAAUGACAUCCAAGGAGAAAAUGAGGUUAAUGAGAGACAUUAAUUAAACACUCCCUCACCCCACCGCACCAAACCAGUUGGGUUCUUCUGAUAUUCUGGAAUACUCUGGGCUAUGUUUUAUGUUUUAUUUCUUUUUUAAUCGGUUGUUAUUUUGGUUCUUUUUUUUUUUCUUUCUUUCUUUUUUCUUUUUGUCUCCCAAAGGAGGCUAUGACACAGUUCUCUUGGUUUCUUAUUCAGCUUGAAUAGUAAGUUUUUGUAGACUUGUCACCUGCAUGUACUGUAACCCCACCCCCACCCCCAAAUCCACCAUGUUCUUUUCAGAGAGACAUUUGAGCGUGUUCCUUAGUGUUUAUGUCCUAGGUAUCCAGCCUUGAGUGGUUGUGGAGUGUUGUCCUAGCCGCAUCUUUGUAUGCCCCUCAGGCUCUCUGUCUCUCCUGGCAUCCAAUUCAGCUUCUGUCCAUUCGCCAUUGAGUGGUAGAAAAGCCCAGCUCCAAAGCAGGGUUGACACAGUCAAAAAGCAUUUCAUGAGGUUUUUCUUUCUUUUCUUUUUCCUCCCUUUUUGCAACUUUAGUUUUGUCGUAUAUUAAAUAAAAAACCAAGCCUAGUAUAGUGCAUGUGCUCGCUGAGGUGACCUCGGGGUGGUUACAAAGCACAAAUAUUUGAGGGGCUGCGCCGAAGCCCAGCCAGGGUUCAGUGACGCUAGGUGGAAAACCACCUUCAGGUUCUUCUCCUGCCUCGUGCCCACUGGGAGGGUGGACUUUAGCCCCAGAUCCCCCCACCCCCAGCUUGUGAUAACCCCUGGAUGUUGCUUUCACGGGGAGCAGAUUUAGUUUGUGGGUUUGCUGGGAAGGCCCCAGCCUCUGCGAAAAGCAGCUCCCCAUUGGCCAGCCAGCAGUCUGCGUCAUGCAGCCCGGUUUUCCAUUUCCGCAGCACGUGUGCGUUGCCGUGGCUGAUGGGCGCUGUCUGCUCAGAGGGAGGUCAGGCACUCCUUGGGUUUACGUGGCUCUGCAUGUUUGUAUCGGUGUCUGUUUUUAGGUAGAGAUAGUCAUUCCAUACGUGGAUGCGAGGUCACGUGACUUCACCCCUGUCCAUACCACAGCCGUCGCUUGUGAUGUCCUUCAACAUGGACACUCGUGCUCUCGGAUUGGCACUUCUGUCUUCUUUAUUACCUCAUUCUCCAGUGAACUGCAUCUGGCCAAUUGAUUCAGAAUCAGACAGGAUCCCCACCCCGUGGCACAUCCAGUGAAAGCCAAAACACAAGCCCAAGCGAGUUUUAAAUUUUAAUCACCCUUUAUUUUUUACACUCGAGAGUGAUUGUAAUAAAAGCUGUCAUUAAUAAACUCGGUUCUACCUUACAUGGGA